rnacentral:rRNA from 1 species
GGUGGAGCGAUUUGUCUGGUUAAUUCCGAUAACGAACGAGACUCUAGCCUACUAAAUAGACAGUACUUCUUUACGAGUGCUGCGCUUCUUAGAGGGACAAGCGGCUUCUAGCUGCACGAGAUUGAGCAAUAACAGGUCUGUGAUGCCCUUAGAUGUUCGGGGCUGCACGCGCGCUACACUGAAGACAUCAACAUGCAUCUCAACCUACUCCGGAAGGAGCGGGUAACCCGUUGAAACGUCUUCGUGAUUGGGAUAGGGAAUUGCAAUUAUUUCCCUUGAACGAGGAAUUCCCAGUAAGUACGAGUCAUCAGCUCGUGUUGAAUACGUCCCUGCCCUUUGUAC